rnacentral:rRNA from 1 species
GACGAACGCUGGCGGCGUGCUUAACACAUGCAAGUCGAACGAAAACGCCCGGCUUUGGUGGGCUGCUCGGCGUGCGAACUGGUGAGUUGCCCUUAGGUUACCUGUCCUUGACUGUGGGGGAACUUCAUGAAACUUGGUCUAAUAGCGGAUAGGAUCUCUUGCUUCUGGGUGGGGCUGGGUUAGUUUCGGCGGUUGGGGAUGGACUCGCGGCUUAUCAGCUGGUUGGUGGGGUAGUGGCUUACCAAGGCUUUGACGGGUAGCCGGCCUGAGAGGGUGACCGGCCACAUUGGGACUGAGAUACGGCACAGCCUCCUACGGGAGGCAGCAGUGGGGAAUAUUGCACAAUGGGCGGAAGCCUGAUGCAGCAACGCCGCGUGCGGGAUGACGGCCUUCGGGUUGUAAACCGCUUUCGCCUGUGACGAAGCGUGAGUGACGGUAAUGGGUAAAGAAGCACCGGCUAACUACGUG